rnacentral:rRNA from 1 species
GUAGGGAAUAUUGGGCAAUGGAUGCAAGUCUGACCCAGCCAUGCCGCGUGGAGGAAGAAGGUCCUCUGGAUUGUAAACUCCUUUUUUGGGGGAAGAAUAGUUCUCUUGCGAGGGAAUGUGACGGUACCCUAAGAAUAAGCCACGGCUAACUACGUGCCAGCAGCCGCGGUAAUACGUAGGUGGCAAGCGUUGUCCGGAUUUAUUGGGUUUAAAGGGUGCGUAGGUGGUUUGAUAAGUCAGUGGUGAAAGCUGGUUGCUCAACAAUCAAGUUGCCAUUGAUACUGUCGGACUUGAGAGAAGUGGAGGUUCAUGGAAUGGAUGGUGUAGCGGUGAAAUGCAUAGAUAUCAUCCAGAACGUCGAUUGCGAAGGCAGUGGGCUGUACUUUAUCUGACACUGAGGCACGAAAGUGUGGGGAUCAAACAGGAUUAGAUACCCGGGUAGUCC